CUCUAUAUGCUGCAAGAUGAAGAGGAGUAUCACCUCUUUCAGUCUUUAUUUCAAAACCACUUUGAUCAUCAUGCUUUACUAUUGCAUCUACAAGACGUUUUACAAUGUCUUCGUUGGCAUUACUCACUGCUACAUGUAAUGCUGUUCCUCUUCCCUUUAUUCUUCUCCUGUGAAAAAAUACAUGUUCUUCGUAUUUUUUUAUAACUUCUUCCCAUUUGUCUUCCAUUACAAACUCGCGGAACCCGGCAGCUACAUAUUUGUUGUCACAAAAUAAAAUAGUAAGACAUACAAUAAUUAAUGUCACAUUAAAAAAUUGGAGGAAAAAAUGUCAGAAAUAUUGAACUUUCAACUUAAAGAGCCUGAUAAAUAUAAGGAGAGUUUGGACGUACCCUCUUGAUAAUCAUAAUCGUCUUCAUCUUGAGGCUGAAUCAUAGAAUUAGGAUUCAUUUCGGAAUCAUCUUGAGGCUGAAUCAUAGAAUUAGGAUUCAUUUCGGAAGGUUGAAACUUAAAAAUGAAAAUAAGAAGAAUAAGGAUCAAUGAGAGAUGGGUAGUGGUGCUGUAAGGAACUGAGCAUAUCAAGUGCAAACCUAAUUCCUUUAUAUAAAGAAUGAGAAGCUAUGAAUCCGAUACUUCCUGUAAAGAAAAUGGAUACCCUGAUCCAAUUAUGAGUAUUUUAUAUAUAUUUUUUGUUGGAACACUAGUGUAUAAUGAAAAAAACUUGGAGUAUACUAGUGAGUUUGUGGAGCCUUUGGCAUGUAAACAUCAGGAUGGAGAAACUAGUGUAAAGUGUGAAUUGAAAAUUUUAUGUCCCACAUCGGGUAGAUCACACACUCUAGUAGAAAUCCUCCUUAUAAAUUGAGAGCUCGGGAAUAGUAUUCUUCACUCCAAAACUGAGAAUCGAAUACUCUUCUCUGGUUUUCUCCCCUUCUCAUCUCCCGCGAUUUGUGUUGACGAAUCGUUCUUUUCCUCCUCCUCUUUCUGUGGGCUUCGGAAAAUUGUGGGCUUCGGAAGAGUGGUCUAAGAACCAUAUUGUGGGAUUCGGAAGAGUGGUCUAAGAACCAUAUUGUGGGUUUCGGAAGAGUGGUCUAAGUACCAUAUCGAGGUGUCAUUCUCGAGCGAUUUCUGGCAGUGCAGCCUUUAAUCGUACAGUAAGAAUCUGGGCUGUUUUAUCCUGGAGACGGCGCGGUUGCUAGUCUACCUUGCACAAUUCAGGUAGUGCCGCGAAACGUCUUAAAGAGAGCGACCUGGUCGUGACUCAUCCCGGUAAUAGUUUCAAAAGCUCCAUCGUAUAUUUUCAAAUUAGAAAAAACAACAUUUUUAAGACGUUUCGAAUACGAUACGAUGAGUUCUGAAAAGAUUACCGCGGUUUCAGCUGAUGACUUUAACAAACCGUUUCUGUUUACGGGUAGCCACUUCAAACGUUGGCAGCAAAAGAUGUUGUUCUUCUUGACCACUAAAAAGGUUGCCUACGUUUUGAAGGAAGCUAUGCCUGUAGCACCUACGAGUUCGACUCCUGCUGGAGCGAAUAAUAACGGUAAGGCAGCAGACCCUACUGCUGCUGAGAAAGCUGACCCAGAUAAACAGCUAGCCAUAGAUAUAGCUCUAUGGAAGGAAAAUGACUACCUCUGUAAGAAUUAUAUUCUUAAUAGACUCACAGACCCUCUAUAUGAUUAUUAUAGACUUUGUGAUACUGCUAAACAACUAUGGGAAGCACUUCAGAAGAAGUAUGAUACUGAAGAGGCUGGUGUUAAGAAAUACGCCGUAAGCCGCUAUCUGAAUUUCAAAAUGAGUGAUGAUAAGUCCGUUGAGGCACAAUCACAUGAGCUGCAACAAAUUGCUCACGAGAUCAUAGCUGAAGGGAUGGCACUUCCCGAACAAUUUCAAAUAGCUGUGAUUAUUGAUAAGCUACCUCCUGCCUGGAAGGACUUCAAGAGUCUUCUUAGACAUAAAACUAAGGAGUUCUCUCUUGAAAGUCUGAUCACUCGCCUUCGUAUUGAAGAAGAAGCGAGAAAGCAGGACCAGAAUGAAGAGGUGUUUGUUGUUUCUAACAACAACACUAAAAAGAAAUUUGUAGGUGCUGUUCUGAAGCCUGCUGGCAAACCAUUUAAGAAUCAGAACCGCCCUAUGAAUAAGAAUUCCAACAGGAAUAAGACUGGGAACAAUUCAAGACCCCAGAUUCAACAGCCACCAAAGAAUGAUGCUGCUCCACCUUUCAACUGUUACAAUUGUGGGCAAGCAGGUCAUAUGGCACGCAAGUGCAGAAACAGAACCAACCGACCAGCACAGGCUCACAUGGCUACUGAUGCUGCACCUGAUGAGCCCUAUGUGGCUAUGAUUACUGAGAUCAAUAUGAUUGCAGGUUCUGAUGGCUGGUGGGUGGACACUGGUGCUUCUCGCCAUGUCUGCUAUGAUAGAGAUAUGUUCAAAACAUAUACUGCUUGUGAUGAUCAGAAGGUGUUGUUGGGAGACUCCCACUCCACUGAUGUUGUUGGAAUCGGAGAUAUAGAGCUGAAAUUCACCUCUGGAAAGACUCUGAUACUGAAGGAUGUGUUGCACACUCCUAAGAUUAGGAAGAAUUUAGUUUCAGGUUUUCUUUUGAAUAAGGCUGGGUUUACUCAAAGCAUAGGGGCUGAUUUGUACACCAUCACUAAGAAUGGUAUUUUUGUUGGGAAAGGGUACGCCACUGAUGGCAUGUUUAAGUUGAACAUUGAUAUGAAUAAAAUUUCUUCUUCUGCUUAUAUGUUGUGUGAUUUUAAUAUUUGGCAUUCUAGACUCUGUCACGUUAACAAAAGAAUUAUUUCAAAUAUGAGCGGUUUAGGAUUAAUUCCUAAAAUAUCUUUAAACGAUUUUGAAAAAUGUCAAUUUUGUAGUCAAGCAAAAAUAAAUAAAGAAUCACAUAAAUCAGUAACCAGGAUAACUGAACCUUUUGAAUUAAUUCAUUCUGAUUUAUGCGAAUUAGAUGGAAACUUGACUAGAAAUGGAAAAAGAUAUUUCAUCACUUUUAUAGAUGACUGCUCGGAUUACACACAUGUGUAUUUAAUGAGAAAUAAAAAUGAAGCGCUUGAUAUAUUUAAACAGUAUUUUAAAGAAAUUGAAAAUCAAUUCAAUAUUAGAAUCAAGCGUUUUAGAAGUGACAGAGGUACUGAAUAUGGAUCACAUAUAUUCAAUGAGUAUUAUAAAGAACUCGGAAUUAUUCAUGAAACAACUGCUCCUUAUUCUCCUGAAAUGAACGGUAAAGCGGAAAGAAAAAAUAGAACGUUUACCGAAUUAGUAGUUGCAACAAUGCUUAAUUCCGGAGCAGCGCCUCAUUGGUGGGGAGAAAUUUUAUUGACUGUUUGCUAUGUGCUAAACAGAGUACCCAAAACAAAGAACAAAAUUUCUCCAUAUGAAAUUUUGAAGAAAAGACAACCAAACUUGUCUUAUUUUAGAACAUGGGGCUGUCUAGCCUAUGUAAGAAAACCAGACCCCAAAAGAGUCAAACUAGCAAGUAGAGCCUAUGAAUGUGCAUUCAUUGGGUAUGCCUUAAAUAGUAAAGCCUAUAGGUUUUACGACCUGAAAUCUAAAACGAUCAUAGAAUCAAAUGAUGUUGACUUCUAUGAAAAUAAAUUUCCCUUUAAGUCAGGAGACAGUGGGGGUAAUAGUGGGGGCACUGAUAACUCAGUUCUUGAUCAACCUUCUGAAAUCAUAACAAGCAAUGAAAACAUCGAAAGAGAUGUUAUAGAACCUCGUAGAGGUAAGAGAGCAAGAAUUGCUAAAGAAUAUGGCCCCGAAUAUGUGGCAUAUACAAUAGAGGAGGAUCCAUCAAGCAUCAAGGAAGCUCUGUCUUCAAUUGACGCUGAUUUAUGGCAAGAAGCUAUAAAUGAUGAAAUGGAUUCUCUAAUGUCCAACGAAACUUGGCACCUAACUGACUUGCCUCCUGGAUGUAAGACUAUAGGUUGUAAGUGGAUUUUGAAAAAGAAACUAAAACCUGAUGGGUCAAUCGACAAAUAUAAGGCACGCCUUGUUGCCAAAGGUUUUAGACAAAGAGAAAAUGUAGAUUUCUUUGACACAUAUUCACCUGUAACUAGAAUCACUUCCAUUAGGGUACUAAUCUCAUUGGCGGCUAUCCACAAUUUGAUAGUACACCAAAUGGAUGUAAAAACUGCUUUUUUAAACGGUGAAUUAGAAGAAGAAAUCUACAUGGACCAACCUGAAGGUUUCGUAAUCCAUGGACAAGAGAACAAAGUUUGUAAGUUAGACAAAUCUUUGUAUGGUCUAAAACAAGCACCGAAACAAUGGCAUGAGAAAUUCGACAAUCUUAUGAUUGAGAAUGAGUUUAAGGUGAAUGAAAGCGACAAGUGUAUUUAUUCCAAGUACGAAAAUAACACUUGCACGAUCAUAUGUCUAUACGUAGACGACUUACUCAUAUUUGGUUCAAACCUCAAUGCCAUUAAAGAUGUGAAAUCAUUGUUGUGCCACAACUUUGAUAUGAAAGACCUAGGAAAGGCAGAUGUAAUUCUUGGAAUCAAGAUUACUAGAACUGAUAAUGGAAUUUCCUUGAAUCAAUCUCACUACGUUGAGAAGAUCUUAAGGAAAUAUAAUUACUUCGAUUGUAAACCUGCGAGCACACCUUGUGACCCAAGUGUGAAGCUAUUUAAGAACACUGGAGAUAGUGUUAGACAAACUGAAUAUGCAAGCAUCAUUGGCAGUCUCAGAUAUGCCACUGAUUGUACUAGACCCGACAUCGGCUACGCCGUGGGACUAUUAUGCAAGUUUACGAGCAGGCCAAGCAUGGAGCAUUGGCAAGCUAUCGAAAGAGUCAUGAGAUACUUGAAGAAGACCAUGACUCUAGGACUGCAUUAUCAGAGAUAUCCUGCAGUGCUUGAAGGAUACAGUGACGCAGAUUGGAACACCUUAUCAGAUGAUUCCAAAGCGACCAGUGGCUAUAUAUUUAGCAUUGCUGGAGGAGCUGUUUCCUGGAAAUCCAAGAAACAGACCAUUCUGGCUCAGUCCACAAUGGAAUCUGAGAUGAUAGCACUAGCUGCUGCUAGUGAAGAAGCAAGUUGGCUAAGAUGCUUGCUAUCUGAAAUCCCUUUGUGGGAGAGACCGUUACCAGCUGUGUUAAUUCAUUGUGAUAGUACCGCGGCUAUCGCAAAGAUUGAGAAUCGUUAUUACAAUGGUAAGAGACGACAGAUAAGACGAAAACACAGCACGAUAAGAGAAUAUCUUUCGAACGGAACGGUAAGAGUAGAUUUCGUACGAACAAAUGAAAACUUAGCUGAUCCUUUGACGAAAGGACUAAACAGAGAGAAAGUCGCAAAUACAUCCAGUAGGAUGGGACUAAUGCCUAUUGAUCAUAAGUGAUGGAAACCCGACCUAAAUGACUGGAGAUCCCAAGAACUAGGUUCAAUGGGUAAUAACAAAUCACAAGUGACCGAAGGUUGAGAUAAUAGAAACUCUUAAUGAGAUCUAUACUCCUUAUGGAGUGAAGUACAUAGCUACAGGAGUACUUCUGAUAGACUCACCUAUACGUAUGUAGAACUGAGGCCGGUUCUUAUGGAAUUUCGAGGCAGAAUUCCUAGAGCAUUCGUUAAAACUGGGAUAGACGUGCAAGGCCAUUAACGCACGGGCUUUUUAGAAAACACCUAAGAAAAGGUUGUGUGUGGGUCCUAUGUCUGAGAUAGAGUUCAAUGCUGUAAGCAACUCUUGUUAAUCAGAAUACUACUCACUAUGCAAAGGUUCAAGUUGUUGGCGACACCUUUGUUUACUAGCAAUCUUUAAGAAACGUUUAAAACGUAACUUUCGAAACCAAUUUUGAAUUCAAGUGGGGGAUUGUUGGAACACUAGUGUAUAAUGAAAAAAACUUGGAGUAUACUAGUGAGUUUGUGGAGCCUUUGGCAUGUAAACAUCAGGAUGGAGAAACUAGUGUAAAGUGUGAAUUGAAAAUUUUAUGUCCCACAUCGGGUAGAUCACACACUCUAGUAGAAAUCCUCCUUAUAAAUUGAGAGCUCGGGAAUAGUAUUCUUCACUCCAAAACUGAGAAUCGAAUACUCUUCUCUGGUUUUCUCCCCUUCUCAUCUCCCGCGAUUUGUGUUGACGAAUCGUUCUUUUCCUCCUCCUCUUUCUGUGGGCUUCGGAAAAUUGUGGGCUUCGGAAGAGUGGUCUAAGAACCAUAUUGUGGGAUUCGGAAGAGUGGUCUAAGAACCAUAUUGUGGGUUUCGGAAGAGUGGUCUAAGUACCAUAUCGAGGUGUCAUUCUCGAGCGAUUUCUGGCAGUGCAGCCUUUAAUCGUACAGUAAGAAUCUGGGCUGUUUUAUCCUGGAGACGGCGCGGUUGCUAGUCUACCUUGCACAAUUCAGGUAGUGCCGCGAAACGUCUUAAAGAGAGCGACCUGGUCGUGACUCAUCCCGGUAAUAGUUUCAAAAGCUCCAUCGUAUAUUUUCAAAUUAGAAAAAACAACAUUUUUAAAUAACAUUAGGAGUAUUAUUUUUUAGGGUUAAUGGUGCUUUAACCCUCUAAUAUAAGUCAUUUCCAGGUUUAUCCGCUAUAAAAUAUUUUUUUUUAGAUUUUAACAUAAAAGAUAAGAAAAAUAUAAUUCAAACUUCUCUCAAAAAUGAAGAGUCAAAUGUUUUUAAUAUGUUUUGAAUAACAGAAUAUGCGAGUGUAUAUUUUAACAUAAAAAGAAAGAAAAAAAAAUAUAAUUUAGGCAUCUUUCAAAAGAAGGAGUGCAAUUUACUCAUAAUUUAUUUUAGUUAUUAGACAACUUUUAUGAUGUACUGUAUAAAAAAAAAAACAUGUACAAGAUUUAGUAGACAAUGGACACAACAAACAAAAUAUAAUUUUAUUCAUUAUAAUUUAGAGCAGUGAUGUUUGAACAACCAUUUAAGAUAACUUUAUUUUUUUUUUAUUUUCGUUGAUCAAAAACAAUUAAAAGAGAAUAAAAACAUAAUAUGAAUAUGAGAGAGAAAGUUGUCAAAAUAUUAUCAUAAAAUAAUUAUACAAAUAUCAUUUCUCUAAAAUUUAUAGUGCGUGUGAUAAUGAAAACAUGUGUUUCUUGUGUGUUGCAAUUGAUCACGUCUUAGGUAAGCAUAUUUUAAUCUUAAUAUGUAAUGAAUAUCAGAUAUAGUGCGUGUAAUAGUGAAAACAUGUGUUUCUUGUGUUGCAAUUGAUCACAUCUUCGGUAAACAUAUUUUAAUCUCAACAAGUAAUGAAUAUUUUCCAAAAUAAAGAAAAGGGUCACGAUCGUGUCUUGCUUUAUUUUUAUUCCUUUCUUCACUCUCGUGAUUUUAUCGUUGCAGCUUUAAACUGAGUGAAACAACACAUAUAUGACAAAAGCAAAGUGCAAAAUGUUCAGUGCUGAGUGAAACUUAAGCUUAAGCAAAAGCUAUAUUCUUUCUCACCUUUUGUCUCUUUAGCAUUAUAAGGCUUCGUAUCUCGUCGUGUUUCUCAUGGCCUUGGGAGCAAUAUUACUAUGUUUGCUUUCAUUUUUAGAUCAGCAAAGGUGAUUUAAAAGACAUGUAAUUUAGACUUUUGUUUUGGUUGUUGAAGAUGCACAUUACUCAUGUGAUGAGGAAACUUUUAUGUGUCAUUUCAUUCAUGAAGAAGAAGAACAAGUGUCAUUACACAUGAGUUUGCCUAUGAUUCCAAUAUUGUUACCUACAAAUUUAUGUACCCCAUGUGCAUGACUAACUUCAAUGCUCAGUAAAGUAUAUGAAUGAGUUUGAACUACCAAUAUUGCGAUUGAAAAUUACUAGCUGUAUCUCUAUUUAUUCGUUCUUUUAGUGAAAAAAAAAAAGCUUAAUACAAGUUAAAACAUAUACUAAUUUUAUUUUUCUAAAUAUAAAUAUCGCUAACUAAUAACUUGUUUUGAUAGAUGAAAAGACAACAUUAAGAGCAUAUGUUUGCUUACUUCAGAAGUUCAAGAGUACGAUAAUUUUUAAAGCUUGUUGUGGAAGAUUUAGAAAUAUUUACUAUUACAAUUGUAUAGCAUAACCAGAAAGAUUUUGACCCAAAUAUAUAGUUCACUCAUUCUACUAUAAUUCUUUCUAUAUGUGUGUUUCAUGUGGAUUGUUAUUUUUGCUCAAAAGUGUGGUCAUUUUUUAUAGACUAUCUGUGUGUUCCAUGUGGAUUGUUAUUUUUGCUCGAAAUUGCGAUCAUUUCCAAACCUUCCUUUAUUAUUAUUGGUAUAUACUUUGUGAAACCACUUUGAGCCUCCAUGCAAAUUUUAUUUAUGUUACUUAUGUGACUUGAAUCAUGUCAGAAGUUUUGAACCCUACAAUGAUACUUCGAUUUGAAUUAUUUUAGAGUCAGAUAUAUUAGUGCAAUACUUAUCAUGGUUUCAAAUUAAGUUUCAGAUUGCUCGUUGAAAUUAGCAACAUCUUAAGUUUGGGUUGAGGUACCAAUAAUACUUGGUUAUCAAAAUGUACUUGCAAAAGUACAAUAAUCGUAAUUAGGGUUUAUAUUGUAUUGGUCAUUCCUUGAGAAGGCUAUCAAGGGCUGUAUUUAUAGCCCUCUAUGAGCCUGGUUUGUGGUUAUUUAGGCUAUAAGUAACGAGGGCAAUUAUGUAUUUAGGCUGCCUUCUAGAGGUUUUAGAAAUAGGUUGAGGCAGCGCCUUAGGGAGGGUGCGUCUUAGGCCUUAGGGCCUUUAUGGAGGGCACUAAGUCCUUUGGGAGGGUCUAAAAGCCCUUUUGGAGGUCUUUUAGAGAUAUAUUGACGGUCCACAUUCCCCCAAGCACGAGUGUUGGGACAAGGCGAAGUGAUUAAUUUGCUUUAAAAAAUUUGUUUAUGCUUUGAUUAUACUUCGUGUAGGCCUUUGGGGUGCUAUCAUCCGAAUUUGGAGAGCCCCCUAGGGUGAUUCCACUUAUUUUCUAAGCCCCCCCAGAGAGUAUACAUUCAAUUUGUCUUAUAGGAUGAUCACUCCCAGCCCCCCAAGCACGAGCUUUGGGAGAAGGCGAAGUGGUUUGUGAUGGCGUGAUGAGUUGAGUCACCUGUGGUGAUUUUCAAGGGCGGGAUUGUUGAAGAAUAUAAGGCGAGUCUUUUGAUUUAUCAAGAGAUCUAACAUUUCAGAUCUCGUGACCUUUCGAUGAUGUUGACGUGAUUUAAUCGUGGAGUUUUCCUCCACGUGUCUCCACUCAUGGACAAAGGUGAGAGUGUUUUUUGAGGUGGUUUAAAUUUGCUUCCUAUAAAAACGUGUUUCCCUUCAUUUCCUCUAUUUCAUUUCCACUUUUUUCGCUUCUGAUUCUUCUGUAUUCGUGCGAAAUUUGCUAGCUGCUUUCUGGAUUUUCAAUCUUGAUCUCUUCAAACUUCUCAAGUACUCUUUCCUUUCGUCUUUUUUUUAGCUUUUUUCAAAAUUUCUUAGCUUGUCAUUUAGGAAUGGUUCUCAUUAAGAAAGGACUACUUAAGGCAUGGAACACGGCCGAAUGGUUUGAUUGAUUGGGACGCGUACGAAUAAGGGCUUUUCGGCCAUAGGGUUUUGAGUGAGUUAUCUAGUGAUAGUGAUACCAGUAGUGAUAGUAACUGUGUGUUUCUCUAUGCUACCUCAGGAGCAGAUCAUAAGGGGGAAGUUUGUCUGGAGAUAUGUCCCUACACGUCUUCGUCGUCUUAUUCUAAAAUAUCCUUGCGAGCUUGAGAUGAAUGAAUUUACUGAAGAGGUUCUCCGGGAGUACUCGUUGUAUCUGGAGGUAGCAGCAGUCAAUUACUUUCGGAGUAAAUUGGACAUCUCUUCCUCAGAGAACGAGGAGGACGUGGUGGUGCUGCCUUGUCAGGUGGGCGAGAGAGUACGCGACCAACGGUUGGCGAACACCGUGGAUGAAUCUUUUCUGAUGUAUAUGGCGGUGCUGGAGGAAUUCGGGGUAACAAUUACUUUCACGGCGUUCGAGAUGGAUGUGUUGAUGCUCUUGAACGUGGAACCGUCUCAAAUACGUCCUAAUAGCUUGGCGUUUAUCCGUGGUUUUGAAAUUCUGUGUAAAGCUUUAAGUUUGGAACCUUCUGCUGCGUCUUCCUUCAUUUCAAUGGGACUAAAGAUGUCAAUAAAGGGAUGUGGAUUUCGAUUAGUGCCCAUCCUGGAAAAAAUACUCUUUCCUCCGUACGCUUCUAAUUUCAAGGAGUGGUGAGACUCAUUUCCUAGGGUAGAGGGGGCGCCUGAGUGUUCCAGUGCUUCAGUGAUGGUGGAAGGGAAACCUAAGUUUCCUUUGUGUUGGACUUAUGCGUUUGUCGUAGUGAUGGGCUAUGACUUUAGUAAGAUGACGCCAUACGAACGGAUAUGGUAUGUUAUUUGGAGAAGUUUCCAGUUAUGGACCUUCAUGAUCUUCUGAACCGAGAGGGUUAUAUCAAGAUCCUUGAGCCUUAUUUGUGUGUGUUUUGAUUUUAUUCUCAUGUUGAGAAGUAUAAGGACGCUACUUAAGAUGUUGAGAAGUGGAAUCACAAAGUGACGGGCAUGAAGGCAAGGUUGAAAGAAGCUUUGAAAGAGAAGAAGACUGCAGAGAAGGCCACCAGUGAUAUAUAGAGUGAGAAAGAGGUUGUGGAGCUGGAGAGGGAUUCUUGGAAGAAAAAGGCUGGUGAACUUGAAGGGGACUAGCUACUACUAAGACCUCCGUUGAAGAUGGCAAAGGGGCGCUUGCCCUAUACUUCGACAAUGGCUUUGAGCGUGCCUUGGUGCAGGUUCUCCAUUUUCACCCUGAUGCUAAAGUGGAUGAGUUGGAUCCUUUCAACGUCUUGAUAGAUGGGUAGUUAGUGGACGAAGAGUGAUGCCGUUGUACCGCCUUGCUUUGUAAUUUAUAUUUUUUGUUGCUUUUGAUAACUUUGGCUUUUUGUUUCUUUUGGGAAAUCUGUAACUUAAAUGUACUUUGGGAAUUCAUUACUCCUCUUUCUUCCCUCAUUAAAUUGGAGGUCAACUUCGUUCUUUUCUGUUAUACUCCUUCUCUUAACUUGGAAAAAAGCAUCGCCUGCUAUCCUACUUUCUACUUCUCUUCAUGCUCCUAUUAAAAAUUUGAACUGAGUCAUGCAUAUUUUAUUCAAACCAAUGGGAGGUACAGAUACCGGAAAUGCAAACCAAUACUUGAGGUACCCAGCAGGGGCUGAAUAUAUUUCCACAAAGCCGAAGAAUUCCAGAAUUUUCAUUGUUUAAAAUAAUGGCACUCCAGGAAUGUUUCGCUAUCUUAUUCGGAACUUAGGUGUGAUAUUCGACCUUUGAAGCUUAAUUCUCCCAUUAUGGGGGACAACAAUAAUGGACGUAUUUUUACUGGCGAUCUAAUCGUAAUCUUCAAGCGUCACAAUUAUAACCGAUUUGGUUUCAAGUAAGAGUAGCUUCGCCUCAUCUUUCUUGGUCUUGAUCUUCCUGUUGUUUACCUGAAUAUCAUCUCGAAGUAGAAUGCUUAUCGGUUAAUCUAAAUAAUAAUAUACUGAUUCCGAGAUUGAUAGCCACACAUACAUGAUAAUUUAAACACUAGAAUUAGGUUAAAAUAUAUUUGAUUUUAUUAGGUUUUAUCAUGACGAAGCUGCUAAUGGUAACAAACAGAUAGCCGGUAAUACAUCCUUGUAUCAAAAAGGUUUGAUCAACAAAAUGUUUUUGACUUUGAACAUACAAUUAUCUUAUAACUUGGUGCCCAUAUAAUUUGGUUUAUAUGAAAUCGAUAGGCUUGUAACUUCUUCCACCGAUAAAAUAAAUAAAUUAUGAUGGCUAGAAAGGUAUUCCACAUGCAUCAAUUAAAAUCUACCCAAAAUGUAUGUGCAUAUAUGAAAGGGGCGUGUGUGUUCAUUUGAAUAAUCAUAAUGAACAUGCAUCAUGAACGGCAACUCGAAGCAAUUCAAUUUUCUCCUUCCAAACAGAUUUCUCCAUCAUUUGAAUAGAGCAUAAUUUUAGAAAGAUAAAUCCUGAUUUAGUUAUAAAUCGUUGCUUCUAAGGAGCUGUUCGUGGAUCUUGAGGCCGGGCGAGGUUUGGUCUUCGCCAGUCAUCAUUUUUUCUCUAGAUUGCCGGAGGUUUUUAGGUUUAUGAGUGUGGCCUAGGUUAGUUUUAUCGAGGUACCCAGAGACGGAUGCCAACUGUACUAGCAGUGAGUACAAUAUUAGAAAGUUUAGUUUUUCAUGAUUCCUUGAGAAUGCUCUCAAGAGGGGGCAUUUAUAGCCCUUCGUUGGCAUGUAAUUCGAUGACUUAAGCCCCAAGCAGCUUGGGCACUAAAUCACUCUAGAGCAUUCUAGAUCUUUCUAAAAGCUUGUUAAGACGGCGCCAUUAGGGGAACGCGAUAGGACUUCAGGAGCCCUUCUGGAGGGCAUUUGUGCCCUUAAGGGUAGAUUGACGGUCUAGGAGAGCAUUAGAGAAUUAGGGUUACAAAAGAAAAAGAGAAAAAGAUAGCAAAGCAAAAGUAAAACUAGGGUUGCAGAGAAAAGAGACAUAAAUGCAUAGUGAGAAGAUUAGAAAGAUUCAAUUGUUGUAAGGGGGGAGUUUUAUUCAAUCUAAGUGUAGUAUAUUCAUGUGGGUAGAGAUGAGUCUUUAACCUCAAGUGUUUUUAUUUAUUCUUAUAAUGAAUCCUUGUUAUAGUGUAUUCUUUUGUGUUCUUAUAACUGUAAAUUUGGUUGUAGUUUAUAAAUUGUGAUGGAUCUUUGUUAAAUUUCGUUCUCUUAUGUUGCUGUAAUUAUAUAUUUGAUCUAUUGAGAUUAGGAACAAUUUUGAUUUCAAAUUUAAUGUACUGUGGGUAGAUAUAUAUAUAUAUAUAUAUAUAUAUAUAUAUAUAUAUAUAUAUAUAUAUAUAUACACGAUAUCGAUGCAUAUUGCUUCAUCGUAGCCUAUUGUAAAUCGGUGAAGAAAUGAAGCCUUUGAAGGUGACGUCAUAAGCUGAAGAAUCUAAAUUAGUUUGUCGUCUUUUGAAGGAAUGUCACUAUCUGACUCUGAGUAGUGCAUUUUGUGUUCUUUUUACCACGUGUAGAAACAAACAAACAAAUUCAAAGACAAAGACAAUGCAACAAAUCAUUCUAUUUGAAGCAAAUGAAUUUUGAAUGACUACACAACGACUCUAACCUUUUGAUGCGCUAACACUCUUCAACAACUGCUCUCAGAAUAUCUUCUAUAGAUGGACCUGAGCAGUUGAAGAAUAAAUAUAAUACUCUGAAUUUUUACAAGUGUUCUAACUAUGUCAAAAUUAAUACCGCACAAAUUCUUAACGAAUUUCUUAUAAUAGAAAUUCGUAAGUGUAAGAGUACAUUUGAACUUUAUUAUAUUACAUCUCUAAUUGUAUAUCAAGUGUAAACUCCAACACACAUUUUGCUUGAUUAAAUUAGAUUGUAGAAGUCUCUUGUGUGAUUGAGCCAUAUAAGUCUCUUUCUCGUGUAAUUGAGCAAAGGAAGUCUCUUGUUUAUGUGUUUGAGCAACUUGUAAUCUAUGAGAUUAUAGUAGAAAUCCCUCUGAAGUGCAAUGGACAGGACUAUUUUUGGUUUGUAGUAGGAACCAAUAUAAUUUCCAUGUGCUCUCUCUCUCUAUCUCUCUCGCUCUCCCCUCUGUGAUAAUCCAUCCACACAUAAUUUAUCUCAUUCUCCCAUAUCUCUCCAUCCAAAUCACUCUUGAGAUACAAAACUCAUAAUUUAGAUACGACAAAAUUCAUAUAAUCCUCAUCACACCUUAUAAUGAUACAAAAAGAGUCAAAUCACACUACAAUCAUACCAGUACCCUAAACAUAAUAAACACAGAACUCCUUAUUCAAGUACAAACCAAACUCAUUAGUUUCAAUCCACAAAGCAAUACAAUAAAAUAAACACCUCUACAACUUAACACCCUUGAUACUUGGUGGUGGCACCUUCUUCAAAAUAACUUUGAGAAGAUCAAUAUAUAACGGAAAAUGCUCAACUGCAUAGAAUGUGAUAGGCAAGCAAAUGGCAAUAUAUAAAUAGAACAAGAUACCACUCUUGGUAUAUUUAUCUGUGAGCACAAAGUAGUGUCCACCAAUGAAACAAAUGAACAUGGCAACAAUGGCUACGAAGAGAGAACUAAACCCAAAAAGAAGUUUCAAUGGCAAGUUUCUAUUGAAGUCUUCGACUUGUUUUCGAGAAGUGAGUAAAGCAAGGAACAUGAUGAGUGCAGUGGCAGAGAAGUAAAGUCCAAUUAACGAAGAUAUAGAGAAUACUUCGAAUGCAGGCUGUCCUUCGAAUGUUGGUUUUCCAGUAUUCUGAUUACCUCCGGGGACGCUGCCUGAUGUAGCAAAGGAGACGCCUGCGACGAGUGCCGCUACAACUGAGCAUGACUGUGAUGUGUCUUUCAACCACUCAAUGCUUUUAUCUAGAAGUUCUUUGUGUUCCUCCUUAAAGAUUUCACCUGGGGUUUUUCUAUCGUUGUUGCUUCUAUGAUGGUAAUGGUCUGGUACUAGUCUUUUAAUGUACUAUACAGUACCAUUCACAUAUAUUAAGACAAAAAAAUGUUAAUAUUUUUAAGAGAAACAUAAAUAGAUAUUCCUAAUAUUUAAAUAAAAUAUAUAUUUUUAAAUGUAUGUUACAAGUACAAUUCAUUUUAUUUUUAAAGAAGUACAAUUCAUUUAAUUUGAUGAAGUUUACAUAUGACAUGAUUUAAAAAUUAAUUGACAGUUUUUAGAUCUUGAAAAUACAGUGUUUUUUUUUAAGAGGAUGAAAAUAGAAUAACUAUAUCAAAGAGUUACUUUGAAUUAAACAUGGAUCAAGUAAUGUAUCGAUAGAAUGACUACGUAUUUUAGGGUUUGAAUGGGAGCUUCUACGAAGAAGUCAGGAAAAUGACUUUUUCGGUGAAAUCGUUUGAAUAGGCCAAUCAGAUUUUAAGUGAUGACACGUCAGAAAUCCUAAUAAUGUUACAGUGUAGUGCGGUCUACAAUACCGUUAGUAAAGAAAAACUUUAUUUCAUGAUCUUAAUGGUUAGAUUUACUUGAUCUUUAUGUUAUUGUGGUACAACAUCUACACAUUAAUUUUCUUCUAGUACCAAUUCUCUCUCCUUUUUAUUUCUCUUUCUUUAUUUAUUUAUAUUCUCUCUUCCAGAUUUUUAUUAAAUCAACAUCUUCAUCUUUCCUUCAUCUUCUUCAUCAUAUCUUCAUCAACUUAUUCAUCAUCUUCAUGAGAGAGAGAAAAAACCCAGAAAUUAAAAAAAAAUGAAAUUACAUAAUAAAAAAAAACAUUACAAUUAAAUACAUUUCCAUAAAAACAAUUCCAAUUUCAAUUCCUCAUUUCCCAAAUUAAUCCCCUAAUUAAGCGUAUUUCUCCAAUUUUAUCUUAACGAAGACCUAAAUAUAAUUUCAUCCCAUGUAUUUUCUGAUUUGUUUUUGCUCUUAUCCACCGUGCUUUUGACUUGUGAAAGAAAAAUCAAUUUCAUAACAAAAAUGAUACUAUUUAGAUCAUUAUAUUGUCCUUUGUAACACCUAUUUGCUAAAAAAAAUUAUUACGUAAGUUUUACAUUUAAUCUUUCAGUUUUUCGUACUAUAAACGAUAUAAACACUUAAUCUUUCAGUUUUCAAAGAUGAGUGAUAUGGUAUGAAAAAGUAUAAUAACCCAUAAAUAUGAGUCACAAGUUGUUCAUUAUAAACUUACAAGAGUCUUUGGAAUUCCUCUCAAAUUAACAAAAAAAAGUCUUUGGAAAUGUAAAACUCUAAAUCAGUAUAUAUAUUAGUUUUAUUAAUAUUAGCUAUUUUAAUUUUAUUUUUAAUAAUUUUUUUUGAAAUAAUUUUUAAUAAAAUUAUAAUUAGGUAUCUACUACUACCUCCGUUCCUUUUUAAGUGUCACUUUUGGAGAAAAUUUUUGUUCCUCUUUAACUGUCACUUUCAAAGUUCAAUGCAACAUUAAAUGUUGUUUUACCAAUAUUGUCCUUAGUUAUUUAUUGUGGAGAGAGAAAUAUAUGAAAUGGGAUAUUAAAUGAAUAAGGUCAGUACAUCUUAUUGCAUCAAAAGUGGUAUCAAUUGUUGAUUGUCUUGAUUUAUGUAAAAUGUGACAAUUAAAAAGGAACGGAGGUAGUACAAUAUUAAAUAAAAUAAACGUCAACAUAAUAUAAUCAACCAGGUCAUGAAAUAUGACCUUAUUGGAAUAAGAACGAAGUAGAAACUGAAAUUUCAGAAAUCGAAAUCUUUGAUGUAAGUCGAUUUAACGAACUAUCUCAUUAGAAACCUAGUCAACAUGGAAUGACAUUGCUCCGACAAUCAAAAUGGAUCCAACCAACUAACGGUAUCAGAUAUAAUCAAUCAGACCGUUGAAUAUGUCCAUAUUGAAGUAAGAAUGAAACACGAACUGGAAUUUUGAAAAUCGGAAUCUUAAAUGUAAGUCGAUCUGACAAACUAUCACAUUAGAAAUCUAGUCAACAUGAAAUGACAUUGCUCCCACGAUCAACUUAAUUAAUAAAAAUAUUACUAAUGAUCACAUUCUUUUUUUUUUUACUAAAAUUAUCACAUUCUUAAAAAGUGAAUGGCUAUUCGACAAAAAAUAUUAGUAAUGAUCACAUCAAAAAAAAAGUUAUGAGUUUUUAAAAUUUUAUCAUAUCGAUAGAUAAAAUUUACAACAAGUGUAGUGCAAAUAUUUAAAAGUGUUUUUCAUAUAAAAUAAAAAUUAUUUAAUAAGAACACUUAUUAAUGUUGAUAUUUUGAAAUAGUCAUAAGUUUUCAAAAUUUUAUCAUAUCGACUUUCUAAUAUCGGUACAUAAAAAAUUUCAAAAAAUAAAUAAAUUUCUUAUGCAGAUAUUUUUAAAAUAGUGAUGAACUAUUAAAGUUUUAUCUUUGAUGCACGUCGAUCUGACAAACUAUCCCAUUAGAAACCUAGUCAACAUGGAAGGACAUUGCUCAAACGAUUAAAACGUACAAAACCGACUAACGAUAUCAAAUAUAAUCAAUCAGACCGUUGAAUAUAACCUUAUUGGAAUAAGAACGAAACAGGAACUGAAAUUUCAGAAAUCAAAAUCUUUGGUGUAAGUUGAUCUGACAAAAUAUCAUGUUUGAAACCUAAUCAGCAUGAAAGGAUAUUACUGCGACGAUCAAAAGAAAUUCAACCGACUAACACUAUCAAAUAUACUCAAUCGGACCAUUGAAUAUUACUUAUUGAAUAUGACAUUUAUGAAGGAGAUGUCUUAAGACACUUUUUAAUGAUUACAAAUUAAAAAAUUAUUCUUUUUAAAAAAAUCAAAUAUUUCAAUUUGCAAUGCAUUGAAUAUUGGGUUAAAUGUGUUUUGAUCUUUAUAAAUAUUCUAAUUUUUCAUUUUAGCCUCUUUAGAGUUAUGAGACUAAAAUGAAAACAACAAGUAACUUAGUGUACCAAAGGUUCAAUUAAGUUAAAAAAUAAUAAUUCAAUUUAAUUUCCGUAUAUAUUGCAAACGUACAAGAUUUUCAUAAUAAAUUGAUUGUGAUUCAUUGGUUAUAAUGCUAUACUUGUAUCUUGAGGUUCCUGGUUCAAUCCAUCAUACUAAUGAAACUCGUGUUUAAUUUUUUUUUCCAGCGCUUUUUUUUAAGCAAAACAAAAAUAAAAUCAACCUUGGCAUGGAAUCAAACUCGCAACCUUGAAGCGUUUUUAAGUAAAUUAAACCACUGCAACGUGUGCAUUUAGUGUACAAUGUUUUCGUUCUUGCUUAUUUAUAAAAUAAAUCUGAUAAAAAAAGUCAUCAUUCCAGCCGGGUCACUUUAACCCGGUUCAGAUAUUCGAAACCCGAAAUCAAACCCGACGAUUUAGAGCAAUUUCAACGUCGAAAAUGAUGAUUAUAUAAAUUGUUUUCAAUACUAUUCUCCUUUACUUCCCACCUAUAUGAAUUCCAAAUCAAGUAUUUGAAAAAAGUUGCGUGUUGUUCAUACAAUCCUUACACCGUCGUCGGAUUAUUGCUGCCAUCGCCGACGGUUAUCCUCCCAUCUUUGUGCCUACGACGCUGGAUUUUACAACAUAGAUUUGGAUUUUUUUUUUUUUUUUUAAAGCAUAAAUCUGGAAAUUUUAAUAACCCAAAAAAAACUGGAUUUUUUUUAAUUUUUUUCCGUUUAUUAAACGCUUCUACUUUAGUCAAAUAAGUUUGUAAUAUUCAACAAGCUAGUGGAUGAGACUCGCCAACGUCAUAGUUGAUCGGCGUGAAUUUUCUUCUAUUUGGCUCAGUUACACUAGAUGUUUUUUGACAUGCUACGUCACUGACUUGUGAAUAACCAAAUGAUGCUCUACUUGUUUCUAUUUCAUGUACUCUUAAUUGAAUUCCAGUAAUGUGAUUGCUAAAAAAUUUAAAAUCAAUUCAGGUCUGUGGAGAUAAGUUCAAAUUGCGUUGCGCAGGAGAUUAAGCCAAUCCAUACUUCACGAAAUAACACAGAACUGGAAAUUUUAAUUUUUGGAGGUGGUGGCGGCGGCCAUCAUCAUGGUGGUGGAUAUGGUGGACGGGUUUUAUGAACAGUUUAUCAUAGAAUAGUAAAAAAUUAUAAUGCAAAACAAUAAAUAAAUAAAUUGGAAUAAAUGGGUUGUUGAAACUUGAAAUAGAAAGAAGAAAAGGUGAAAAAAGAGAAAGGAAUUAAAUAUAGUGUGAAAGGCAACACAAUAAGACUAGUGAGGUGUUUAAUCCGAUGGUUCAAAAAAUCUAAUAAAACUAGUCUACGGUAGAACAUAUUGAGCAGAUGCACAACACAUAUUAUGCAACAAUAAACACACAUGACAUAUGGCGCAUUAUUAUUGGAUGUAAGAUAACUUCACCAAAAAAGUCAAUUGAAUAACUUCACCAUAGAAUUUCCCUUGAAUUUUAUUUAUUGAUGGAAAUAAAGUUAGAUUUUGAUUUUUUUAUAAUGAACAAAGAUAGAUUGUUUGAAGGGAUUGCCACAUUAAUUAAUAGUUAAUACUCUCCAAAUCCUUAAAAGAAAAAAGAAAAAAACUCUCCAAUUAUUAUCAACGGUAAAAUAUAAAAAAAAUAAAAAUUGUAUCAUAAAUUUGUACUAUAUAAAAAAAAACUCUCCAAUUAUUAUUUUCCUUGAAAAUUUCUUUAUUAAAAAAAUUAUAACAAAAACAUAUUACACUAUAAAAAUAUAUUUUAAAAAAGCGAUAACAAACCGGCCCUUAAUGACCAACUACACAAACUUGGAACAAUAAUAAAUAAAUUAACUAAAAGUUUCGUCUGACUUUUUUUCUACUUCUCUAGAUUUUUUUAAGAAGAAGUAUGUCAAACACAAUAUAAAUUAAGUUCUUAAUAAAAAAAUAAAAAAAGUUUUUUGGGAAUGGAAAAAACUAAAUGGAAGGAACUUUGAAUAAAAUGUAUUGAAACCUACUUUACAACCACUUUUAAUCAGAGAUUAGUUUUAUGGUCUCUAUUUUGAUACAUAACCCUAUGUUGAAAUUAUAAGAUAUAAGAUAAUUGAUACAGUUUUGCCUUAAAAAUAUCAUAUGAUCUUUUUUCAUAUACAUGCAUGCAUAAUAUGUAUGUGACACGUUCGUACGUACCUUGUACCACUUGAUGUCCCACAUCAUUUGCAUGGCCGCACUAGAUAUCCUCCAAGCAUUGUUUUCGUUGUGUGUUGCUGUAAAUGCUGCUAAGUGUAAAAUGGUGUUUUCAUUGAUAUCAACUUGUUGAUUUAUGCUCUGAAAGGUUUCCAUAGAAAGCCUCUUCCACAACCCUUCAACAACUUGUGGCUGUCUAUAUUUCACUGCUAUAAGUAAUGCAUUUUCGUUGUCAGAGUUAGUUUCAUGGAUGACACUUUUUAGUUUAGAUUCAAGCGCAAGCAUGAUUUCAGUUAUGCCAUGUUUUGCUGCACGCAAAUAUGCUGUAUCAUUUGUGCCACUUUUCUUUGCUUCUAAUUCCUUCAUUGCUACAAGUAAUAAGCCUUUCUUGUCAGAUGCCUUUACUUUUGAAUUAAGCUCUUCCAUAAUUUCAACUACGCCAUUUUUAGCCAAAUCUUCCAUGUUUUGAUUUCCUUCUCUCUCUUGUUUUGAAUUCUUUUUUAAAUCCUCUGCAAUACACAACUAUGAUUGUUAUACUUUUUUUUUUUUUUUUUGCGAAACAAAUUAUGUUACUUCACACAAAUUAAAGAUAAAUUAUAAAUAGAGAAAGAUAUAAAAAAAAAAAAUCAAAUUAUUGCUAAAUUGCUAAUUAACAAGUGUCAUAGUUCCGCCUCUAAAUAAAUUGUCAUAGCUAAGGAAAUCAAAAAUAGAAGUUUUUUUUUAUUGGAAAUAAGAAAUUUUAAACGUUAAAAAGGUUGAAUACAAAUGUUUUAAGAGAAUACUACUACGUUUAUUUAUUUAAUGUGUGUAUUUAAGACACUUGUUAGUAAAUUAGUUUACUCUUUUCGUUCAUUUCUUUUUUAAGGAUACUCAUUUUAGGGAUGGUAAAAAGGGUCAAUCCGCUCCGUUCGGCACCGUCCCGCCAAUAAUCCGUAUAAAUAGGGCGCGCAGUGGGGCGGGUCAAUUAGAGAUGUAGAGUUGAAAAUUUCACCUCGUCCCAUUUUAUGGCGGACCGGCAAAUUGGCGGGUUGACCCCGUCGGUGUUUUUUUUUUUUUAAAAAAAAAUAUUAAUAAAAAACUUCACAUAAACAUGUAAAAAUAUAUAAAUUUAAAGACUAUAAAGAAGUAUAAGUAUAUAACUAAUGACUCCACAAAAAAUAUGAAAAUAAUCAUUCAAACAUAUAAAUUACAUCAUCUAAAAAUAUAGAGUAAAUCAUUAAAACAUUCAAAAUAAAAAGUUCACGAGUUAUUAAUUGACUAAGAGUUAAAAAGUGAUAAAAUUAAUUGAAAUCCCCUCCACACCACUUUACAGAAGAGAAAGUUAAAAAAUUGAUUGUGACUUAUAAAUAAAAAACGUCUAAAUCGUCACUGCCCUACUUUUUUGCAGGUUAGGCGGAGCAGGCACCCUACCAGCGACGGGUUUAAAAUUUCAACCCAACCCACUAAAAAAAUAGGUAAUCGAGUCCAACCUGACGGGUCCAAUCCAUUUUGUCAUCUCAGAUAAUAAUUAAUAUAUGUAGCAGUUUGACUAUCUAUACUAUUUACAGAAUCUAUUUUGACCAUAUUGUUUUACUAAUAUAUAAGGAUAAUUAUUAGUAUUUUUUUUUUUUAAGAUGAAGGAUACAAUUAUUAGUAAAUAAAAUGAUCGAUUUGUCUUAAUCAAUAUUUUUAAAAUAUUAAUUUUUAUAAUUUUUAGUUAUAGAUAAUUAAAUAUAUUAAUGAUCAUAGUUUUGUAUUGAUAUGUGCAAAAUGGUCUAACAUGCAAUUAAGAACCGACAAAGUUAUUAAGUCAUUUUUUUGUCCAAAAAUAUUAUUUUGUUCUUACCCUCUUCCCGUUUGCGCCUGACAUCUUCAAAAAAACUCUCAGCUUUCUCUUUUAUUUCUUCGUCAUGUUCUCCAUAAUCAAAGGGAUCAGCCCCACCACACAUGUAUGACUCAUAAGGAUCUUUCAUAAAUGCUUCCAAGAGAUGGCUACCGCAUAUGUGCUCCAUCUUAACCCUCUUUAUUGCCCCUUAGUUUGCAAAAUUAAUUAAGUUCAGCAAAAUUAAUUAAGUGUGUGCACAAAUCAAAAGACCAAUGGUUAAAUAAAAUAAUGUCAUCUCAUGAGCAUAGCUGAAUUGACAAGAACUUUGCAGUAUAUAUGAGCUGAGGUUUGAACUCGAAAUUUCUCACUUAUUAACUUUAAAGACUAUAGACAGCAUGAUAACAACAACAACAACAAGAAGUAGAAUAGUAUUGUAUCAUUCAUUAGCUUAUUUUGCACCAUUAAAUUAAUAGAUCACAACACACACACACACACACAUAUAUAUAUAUAUAUAGGACAUUUCAAGUGAGAGGGGGUUUUAAAAUGAGAGGAUGAGAGGAUUAAAUAAGAACCCUUAGAUUAAAUUUAACGGUUGUGAUUAAUUUACUCAAUAAAAAAGCCACAUGUUCUAUCUGUAGUGUACACACACGUCAUCUUCCUCCAUGUAUCAUCCAGAUCCACAAUUUCACACCUUUCAUCUUCCUUCAAAAUACUUGCAAGGCUGCAACACUAAAAUCCAACAGUAGCACUAACAGUUUCCGACCCUUGGAUACUCAUCGUCGGAACUUGUGAAAGCCACCAUCAUCGUCGCCGUCGCCGAUGUAAGAAUAUCCAAUCGCUUUGUUUUCGGUGGUCAUCGCUUUUCUGCCUCUGAGUCCCCCGUUCGUGUUCCAUCGUCGUCUGAUUUUCGGUUCAAAUGGAAAAAAAAUGAAUUUUUUUGUUUCUGUCAUAGAUUGAGUAUUGCAAAAUUGAAUUUCUUAACCUCCACCAGAACACAAAAAACGAUUCAAUAAAAGUUAAAAGGUAAGAAAUUCUGUCAUAAUUCUUCUUCUCUAUUCUGAACCUUGUUAUCCAUAAUUUUGUUUGUUGAUUACGAUGAUGGGGGAUAAUGAAGUUUAAGAAGAAGCAGCACAUAACUACUCGUGAGAGAGAGAACAAAGUGGAAAAAGAAAAGGUGGAGAGUACGGUACAUAAACCCUUUUUUAAAGAGUAAUUAAAUUUGAAGCGUCGAUUUAGAUCCAACGAUCAAAAUUAAUUCCUCUCAUCCUCUCAUUUUAAAAGUCCUCUUAUUUGAAAUGUCAUAUAUAUAUAUAUAUAUAUAUAUAUAUAUAUAUCACUAAUUGAUCUAUUAAAACUUAUUGAUUGAAUUGUGUAUGACGAUCUCCCUUGUGUAACACAAUGGUAGGAUGCAAAUUAAAUCAUGUAAAAAUAAAGGUUAAGUUGUUCAAUAUACAUACCCAACAGUGACUGAGUAGACCAUCUUUUUCUUGGUGAUGAAAACAGGGUAUGCCAUAUGGCGAAUACAAACAUUUGAAUGCAGUGACAUAAAAUCUUAGCAGUAAAAUCUAGUCGAGCAAGAGUAUGUCGUACUUUGCAUGCCUUUUCCAAGUCAUCAACAUUGUAUGAUGGUAUUCUUUGAUCACCUUUUUCUGCGGUAUAUAUCGAUAGGUUAGUAAUAUAAUGAACCACAUUGAAAUAUCAUCACUAAAAUUAUCAUAUGCUAAAUUGUUUCAAAAUAAAGAGAGAAAUAAAUAUUAAUUAUAAUUAUAAUAAUAUUAUUAACUUUUCCAACGGAAUUUGAACUUCAUCCAUAUUCAGGUUAUGAGCUUAUGGAGGAAUGUAUAUAUUUAUUAUCCAAUAUUACUAUACAUGACGAUGUUUGGAUCUGAGAAUUUAAUAUCGAAUAUUUGUUUCCGUAAAAGUGGUUUAUGUGUUGGUAUCAAAUUUUGAAAUUGUAUCAGAUUCUCCUUUAUUUAGAGUUACUUGGGCUAAUUUGAUAUCAUUGAAUAUUUUGUUGUAUAUAUUGAGAUUACUAAAUAAUUGUCUUACAACUCAAAUUACUUUGAUCCACUGAGGGGUAUAAAAUCUAGCAUCUCAUCUUUGUGUGGAAUGAUGAAAUUUGAACAAAACAUCCAAACAUUUGUUUUCUCAUUAUCCUAUUACGGGCUAACUAUGGUAGGAUGUUCUAUUUGGUUAAAUAUCAACUUGUAUGUUGAUAGAUGAUAACUCAUGUAAUGUUGUCAAAUGUAUAGCUUUGGUAGGUUAUGGUAAAAAAUUACAUGAAUGUCUUCAUUCGAUUUGGUUAGUAUCCACGUGGUCAAUUUAGAAGCAUCGUAACCACAUGGCUUUCGAUUAUAAGGAACAUAUAUUAUGUUCACCCUUUGACAUGGUUUCAAUACUGGUAUUGUCAUGGAUUAAGUCUAAAAUUGAUGGUUUUCUUAUGAUUAUAUUUAUGUAGCAUUGAACAACUCAAAUAAACUGUUUAUGAAUAAUUCUUUUUGUUAGUUUAUUACUAACUUCGUCUCUAAUUAUAAGGCUUUUUUGGAAAAAUAAUAGGAAUUCAGAAAAUUGAAAGUGCUAAUAAAUUUGCUUGUAACUGUUGUUGUUUUUACAAUUUUAUUCCUUAAUGGAGGGUAUAUUUUCAACAUGGUAUUUAAUGCUGAUAGAAGAAAAAUAUAUAAAAUAAAUAGGGGUGUAUUGGUAAAAAAAUUAAGUAAUGUACUUUGAAAUAUCAAAGAGAUCUUAUAAAAAGAGACAAAUUUUGAUCUCAAAAGUAUCUUAUAUAUAGGGACAAAGGUAGUAUCAAUUUUCAUUUUGGAUUAAUGGUGUUGUUGCUUUUGUGCCUUUUCUCUAAUAUUUGAUUACUAUAUCUUUUUAAUCUUACCUUUUCUUUUACUAUUGUAUCUUUUUCAAUCUUUGACCUUUUAGAAAUAACCAUUAAUUUAUGGAAAAAAUAAGAGAACUAUUAAUAUAGUUGACAAAUUACUAAACACUAGUACAUAAUGACCGUGGCUAUGUAUCAUAAGAGUCAAUUCAUUGAAAACUUACCUUGGUGAGCAAUGUCUUCAACGCCAUACAAUUUAAUUCUAGUUUUUGGAUCUGAGACUUUGACAGAAAUACCUUUAACAGCAAAUUUUUGUAAAAAACGUUAGACCUUUAUUUUGAUGAAUUUUGGCAUAAAACUACAAGAAUGCAAGUAAAAUUCCUUUAGACUUCCAAAAUACAUGAAUUUGACAAGAUUUAUCUUUCAAUUAUCCCUCUAUAUUAACUUUUCUUUUGAACAACAAACAAUUCAUGCUAUGUAGUAGUAACAUGGAUUUGAAAGAAGAAAAAUAAUCGUGUUGGAAUAGAAGAUGAAUUACAUGUGGCUUUCCUAAAAGUAAAUCGUAUGAGGCUAUUACAAAGUAAGAAGAGUGAAGCAAGAUAGUUCUAAUAUUUUACACUAUCUAUAUUCUUUAAUCCUAGAUCUGAAUUAUAAAGCACUUGUAUUACUUGAGUCUUGUUCUUUUGGAUAGGAAUUUGGUAUUGAAAUAGUUGUGGUUAUUAGUAUACUAUUAUUUAUUAGUUUGCUACUUUGUCACUUCUUGUGAUUGGACUAGUUAUUAAUACAUGUAGCUAGCUAGGGGAAAUAUAUGAAGGUUUAUGGAAAUUAUAAUGAGGAAAGGUUUCUUUUUUUUCAACAAGUCAAAAUGGAAUAUAAUAUUAAUUGAAAGGCGAUUCACUCCGCACAAGGCGUGCUAGGAGAGAAGCACUCAACAGUUUACAAUGUCACAAUUGGUGCCUCGCUGAGAAGCACCAGAAAUAAACGAAAGAUAAUAAAUUAUAUGGUAACACCCAUACAAAGAAGCGGGUACUGACACCAGUCGUGAUAACAAAAAUCAAAAGAUGGCUGAUUUGUUUUCAACCACAUAAACGAAUUCAACUUCACUUUGUCAGAAAGGGUACACGGAUCAUAAGCCACAUUUUUUAAGCUGCGGUUGUUUCGUUCUUUCCAUAUUAUUCAAAUAGAAGCAAGCGAAAUUAUCCUGAAGAAUGAAUGAAAAGAUUGUGGCAUACGUGCCAACCGAGAAAACUGAUCAAAAGGUUCACAUAUCACGCCUGAAGGGACGAAAUCAAUACCGAGCCAACGCCACAAUAUAGACCACAUGCUGCCAAAUAUGUCACAAGCUACGAAAAGGUGUACCGCCGUUUUCGGAACAGCCACAUCCUCCCACACACAUAGUAUCAUUAUGAUGAAGAACUCUCCGUGGCAAUAGAUUUGUUUUGGUAGGAAUUCUAUUGCGGAGGAAGCGCAAAGAAAAAACAGAUAUCUUUGAAGGGACGACCUUAUGCCACACAUUGAAAAUGUGACCCCCAUACAAAACUUCAUAAGAUGCCGUCAAAAAAUGAUAGGUUCUGCGCAUUGAAUAGCCUUGAGUAGGUUCAAGCAACCACUUCAAACUAUCAUUAACAUGGUCCUGCAAAACCACAUUAUGUAAUAAAACACAGAACUCCCUCACAAACUCCUCCUCCCACAACAAAAGUCCUCUCCGCUACACCCAUCCACUCCCUCCUUCCUCCCAACCUAACACCGUCAUAUCAGCCUCCGAACACUCUCAAUGCACGGCUAAAUAAAAAAGUCGACGGAAUUUAUUCUGUAAAGGAACUUCUCCAACCCAAUUAUUCGUCCAAAAGAAAGUAUUUUUACCAUCCCCGACUACCUGACGAAUGUUGUCCUCAAACCAAUUCCCUACUCCCGUCCCCUCCCCUCCACGAAUGUUACACAACACUCUCCACCACAAGGAGCCGUGUAUCCCCCCUCCUUCAAUCACCCCCUCCUCGCCGUAUCUAGCUUUUAACACUCGAUACCACAACCCUUCCUUCUCAACCAACAUCCUCCAACACCAUUUCCCUAAAAGUGAAAGGUUAAAUUCUUCUAACCGCCGCACUCCCAAACCCCCUUGCUCCUUCGGUAAACAAAUAGACUCCCAUUUUACCCAACCAAUUUUCCUUAAAUCCUGACCCUCCACCCCCCCAAAAAAAAAAAAACAAAGAAAACUUUUAAAAAUAGAUUCGAUAGAAGAAAUUAUACCUGCAGGGUCAAUAAAGAAGGAAAGAAAGUAAACCAGAAGCGAAGAGAUGACAGAUUUCAGUAAUACUAGAUGGCCAGCAAAUGAUAAAAACUUAUUGUUCCAUGACGACAACCGAGCUAUAAUACGAUCAAUCACAGGUUUCCAAAGUUGAGCUUCUUGACAUCCCCACGGAUUGGCAACACCAACUAAACAAAAUGUAUGCAUCAUGUUCUACAGUUCAUCACUGAAUCCACUUCCCUGAACCAAGAAUCAGAGACAUUCACUCCAGUCAACAUACUUCCCUAACGUGCGCUCUAUGCGGGCGGUGUUUCUUUUAUUUGAGAACAUUUCAAACCAUGAGAGUAUUAUUCAUGAGCUGAAGAUUAGAUAAUUGCGCAUCACCCUGCCAGCCAACACUAUACCCGCGAUACAAAUUAGCAUUCACCAAAGUAUUCAUCAAGACCUUAAAACCUUCGGCUUCUAGAAGGAACAAGGAAGGGGAAAGGGUAUCCCCUUGCCUGAGCCCUCGCUCAAUAAGAAACUCCUCUAUCAGCAACCCAUUCAUAAGAACUGAAGUAGUUGCCGUCCGACGCAUUCAAAAAUCUAUUUCCGCCAUAAAUUCAGGAAAUGCAUAUGAAUCAUCAUCGAAUCAAGAUAGUUCAAGUCGACUGAAUUAUAUGCCUUUUCGAAGUCGACUUUGAACAACAACAUUUCCUUAUUCAUGUGCUUAGCCUAGUCCACAACCUCAUUAGCAAUAAGAAUACCAUCUAAAAUUUGCUUUUCGUGAAUAAAUGUUGACUCAGAAUCUGAAAGAACGCUACCAAUGACCGCACAUAACCUAUUAGCAAGAACCUUAGGCAACAUCUUAUACAUGUAUCCCACAUAACAAAUGGAUCAAAAAUCAUUAAGCUUUUGUGGACGGUCCGACUUCGUAAUUAACGCAAUAAAUGUUGAAUUCACCCCUUCAUCAGUUUCCCAUUACGAUGGAAUUAUGACAAAAAUCUCAUAAAGUAAUCUUUUAAUUCUUGCCAAAACUGUUUGAUGAAGCCAAAACGGAUACCAUCGGGUCCCAGACUCUUAUAACUAUCGCAAUCCCAGACUGCCUAUUUCAACUCAUCUAUAGAAAAAGGCCAAACUAGAUUGCAUGCAUCCGCACUCGGCAAUUUGCGGAAAUGCUCACCAUCCACCCCCGACCUUUCAACGCCAAGUGGUCGGAAAUGACAAGAAAAAUGUUUGAAAACAGUUGUUCUAACAUUUUAGACCCCUUCGACUUUGACGUCAUCCACAUAGACCAACUGAAUAGCAUUGUGGUGCCAUCUGUUAGACAUAACAGAAUGGAAGAAUUUUGAGUUAGCAUCACCUUCCUGGAGCCAAGUCAUCCUUGCCUUCUGCUAAUUAAUACUUGUCUGCACCCAUGACAUAGAAUGCAAACUAACAGACAACUCACGAUGCACCUGCACCUCAUCAUCAAGAAGCGCAAAUUCCUCCCCCUUAGUGUCAAGGGAAGAAAUUUGAUUCUUCAUCUCCGUAAUCUUGUUGUCCAACACGCAAAUUCUUCGAUUGUUGUUGAUGCUAAUCUUUCAGACAUUGUUUAAUCAUCUUCAGCUUCUGUUUCAACACAAAACCGCCCCAUCCUUCCACAUUAAAAGUUCGCCAUUUGUCACGAACAAAGUCCACAUAACCAGGAUAAUCCGCCCAACACUUCAUCAUCCGAAAAGGCCGAGGUCCCCAUUAGUGGCAUCAGAAAGUAGUACUACCAGGACGUGAUCAGAGAGACCCCGUUGAAGCACAGUCUGAAUGCAAUUCGGCCAUGUAUCACACCAUGUCACAGACAACCAAAGCCUGUCAAGUUUGCUCAUCGUAACACCAUCACCGCGAUACUAUGUGAACAAACGACCACAAAUCGGUAAAAUCAAUAAGCAAACAGUCAUCAAUAAAUUUGUUAAAACCAUAUGUAUCGUACUUAUAUAAUUUGGUAGGUAAAUAAUGUAUUUGUAUGAUGGUGACCUUUUAUAUAAUUUGUGAAAAUUAAUAAUCAUUUUACACCGCAACAUCCACCAUACAUGUCGCAACAACCGCAAGACCACAAUUUAAAACCAUGAUUCACUUGGUUAGUUGGGCUCUCAUUCACAAUAACAUUUAUGCUCCAUAAGAAUACAAUUUUUAUGACAAACAUAUAAGACGUGGUUUAUCGAGUUAUUAUAGGCUUAUUCGGAUAUUGAUAAAACAAAAAGAGAAACGUUUAAAGGUUUUUUUUUUUUAAUUUAAUUUUGUUUUAAAAUAUAUUUGUUUUUAUACCACAUAUAUGCAUAAAAAAUACCAUAUAUGCGUGUGUCACUUACAGUUGUAAAGAAUUUUCAUCCACCAUGAUAGCUGAUUUUUACUACUCUCGAAAGCUGAUGUCCUAGUAGCAAGAAUUUCAAGAGGAGAGACUCCAUAUUUGUCCUCCAUAGAGCGAAAAAUUGGAUACAAAUACAUUAUUAUAUUUGCCAUACCUGUUGCAUAAGACACGUAGAUUAUUAACAAGGUAUAUACAGUAAAAAAUUUGGUUAAUAUUUUUUUUCAAGUCUAGAUUAAAUUUUACCAUAGAAGAAUUUCUUAAUUAAAAUAAGUUUAUAAUUUUCACCUCUGAUGUUUUUAAUAUAUUGAAAUUUUAUUAUUAAGGUGUAGUAUGGAUCUAAAUGGUUAAAUUUCGAUAGCUAGCCAAUUAGAUAAGGUCAGGUCAGCAAAAUAACUUAAAGUAUUGAUCUAACCAACCAGAUGAGAGUAGCUAACCAACUAAGUGAUGCCAAGGGACGGUCAAUAAGUUGAGUAAUGUUAUUGUUUUCAUAAAUAUAAGAAUACAGUUGGUCAAAAAUAAAUAAAAUAUAAGAAUACAAUUGAAUUUAAUUGUUGGAUCAUUGUAAGGGGAUAGGAUCCCACAAUUAAUCUAAAAAAUGUAUACUUUUAUUAAUAUUAAUAUUUGAUCUUAAUUUAAAAUAUUAUUUCAUAUAUGAUAUAUCCCCUAAAUAUAUAUUUCUUCUUAAAUAUUUUGAUUAAAAAUUCCAUUAUUAUUGUUAUGGACCACUCACACGGCUACAUGUGUACAAUAAUACGCCGCCUUAAGGCUACACACUUAAAGGAGCACGCCAACAUGCCUGCACCAAGCCACACCAGAGCACGCCUCAUUGUCGGGAUCACGCUACAUAUGUCCUUUCCCGCUCCUAAUCAUACGCCGAAUAACCUAGAGACGGUUAUGCCAUAAGCGCGCCUAUAUAAGGGUGAACUUGCUUCACCCUCAAGGUACACAAUACUUUCCACAAUAUUUCUAACACUUUCACUCUCAGUUCCCAUACUGACUUGAUCGUCAAGGUGCUAACGUGCCUGCAGGAACCCUUUGUUCCACCACAAAAGACACAUCAGUGCCGCACAGGAAGCAGUUACCAAUCAACGGAACACUCUCUACAACCGUUCCUAUCAGACAUAUCAUUUGGCGUUAGAAGGAAGGGAUCAUUCGCUAAACCACGAUGGUCCAACGAUCCUCCACCAUAACCAUUUUCACGUAUGCACAUCUCCGUCGUAACCAUUUUUAGUUACACAUUCCUCCACCGCAGCGGUUGACAAUUAUCGCUCCUACAUUCGAAGUAAUGGCCAAAGUUCAUGGAAGAACCACCGCAAGCCAUCCUUCCACCAGUCGGACACCACAUUCGACGACUCAGAUUCUCAAGGAUCGAACAACCUCGAUCCAUGAAAUAGUGAAUUAAGAAAAAAAAAUGGUAUUAUCUUGGAUGCCACCGCAACGGCUCUGAUUCAACAGUUUUUAAUUUCCUACACCUUCUUGAUGAGAGAAACACACUCCUUCAACACUGCUCCUUCAGAUCUCGCCGUCAUCUGAGACGAAGGAACUACUGGUGAACCUGAUGAACCUACUUCAACAAUAGAGUAACCGACUUGAGCGUGUAGAGAACGGUAGAAACGAAACUUUGGGGAAUUUUUUUGAAAGAAAUGCAAGAGGAGUUCCGUCGAUCCAUGGAAACCGCCACGGGAGCCUUAGCGCGUUACAGUUCGAAUUUGAAGCGCGAGGGAAACCUUACCCGCUAUCUCCCGUUAUGGUAACUCGGCGAAGUAUUUGAUCGCUAGGGAAUGCCGACACUCCCUAAGUCACCUUGCAUAAGCGAAAACGAAACGCCAAAAGCAGCACACUGCCAGAGGAGAAAGAGAACUAACCACCAGAGAAGAGGCUUCGAUUUCCGCAGAAAAAGUUUAUUCACUGAAGUCGCAGGAUUACAAUUCUUCCUCCAAAAGAGAGAUCUUGGUUUCAACUUCCUUAGCUUGGGCCUUCCAGGCGACGGUCUCCGAACAUUCCUCACUUAACUUCUGACUCGAACGGUCAUGAUCAGCGUACAGGUUUGUCACUUGCUUGUCAAAAGAAGAAAGAGCCUCUUUUGCAUCUCAUGCCUACAUUUCAGAAUCUACAAAUUUUUGGCUAAGCUCCCGACACACGUUCUCGACUGCCUACCGGACCUCCUUGCCCGCCACUUCUUUGGCUUCCUUUAGAGCCGCUUGAUGGGAAGCGAUGAUGUCUCGAAGCUUUUUGUCUCCCUAUUUGAAGAAACAAGACAUGUCACCCGUCGUACGUUCAAGAGCAUCCCCCUAAAGCAAAUCAUAGCCCGCCAUCAUGGUACACAAAACGACGGUCUUAUAUGCACUAAUCCACCACCAAUUCCCUCCGCUGAUAGACGACAUUAAACUUACAGCAACAAGAGAAAAAUAAACAAGCAAUAUAAACUGAGUAAACAAAAGGCAAAAAGUAAUGAAAAACCCCAAGGGAACACCGGCUCACCAAAAAUCUCACAGUGGUGGGCAGCAUCCUGCACCUGAAGAAUCAAAAGGGUAUCCACAAACUAGGGCACUUUCUACGAAGGACCCUCAGAAUUCUUCAAAUCCGGAACCCACUACAAUAUAAAACCAGCAAUCAAAUCCUCAAGAGAGAACUUCAUACACCUGUCGAAAGGGGUAAGGUCUCCCUUCACGAAGGAGUAAUCGGCGGCCGGCUUGUCAAAAUGUUACUUAAUCCAAAAAUGGGGGAAAAGAGGCUUAUGCGCCAUAAUCUCUGAAAAUAGGACCUCCAGUCUCGGGCCAUCCAAAUCAUUAUCGUCCGGGUAGUCCGAAGGAACGUGCCAGACACGCGUAGUCCUUAAAAAACAUUAUUCUCUAAUAAAGUUCUACCCAACCAUGAGUCACUACCCCAACCGCGCCGCGAACCCCAAAGAGGGUAAAAAAGUUAUGAAAGUUGGGUCGCCGGUGUUUAUACUCACGACAGAACUAGUAAACCUUCACAAAAACCCAAGAUAGAGAGUGAAGUUGGGAAGGCGCCACCUUCAGAUGACGAUGAACCACUAGCUUGAAACUGCUAAAAGGGGAAGAGCAUCUAGUUCCCCGUUCAAUAUACACGUCCUUUUCGACCCUUUCGGACCUUCCAAAGCCCAGGACCCAUGGAGACUCCAUGGAAUCCCGUUCAACUGGUCGACCGACUGAUAGUAAGAGACAACUUCUGUAACGACACCAACCACCCAACUGUAAUCAAGUUUUAGACCAGGACGCCCGCACGACUAACCAUUGGUAGAGGUUCUCUCUUCCUAAAAAGAUAAGGGAAAUCGUGAGCACGAGCCCUAGAGCACUCGUCCAACCACCACACAAUCUUUCAAUAAGAAGGGGGAUGUCUCAGACGGCCAACAAGAGAUGCCUUCAUUUCGCAAUACAACUCAUCCCCUUCAAUAUCAAUAACUACAACGAGGUUUUCUAAAGUAAUGGAAGGAAAAGUAAAAUCAGUGCCUACCCUCAGAGCCUCUCCUUCACCGUCAACCAAGAUGGGAUAAUCACUAAUCAUUGAAUCCACCAAGCAUCCAAAACUAGCUAAAUGAUCACUCAUUUCACAUUAUCCAACCCCAAAGUAAGACUAGAAGGGAAGAUGAAAUAAGAAAAACACUGGAAAAAGGAGGAGUAUGGAAUUGCAUUACCAAGCGCCUAGGGCAUGCAAUAUGCGCCUUAAGCAUUGCUUAAAGCAAAUAUGCACCUUAAGCAUAUGCUAUGCACCCCAAAUAUCUUAAAAUGUGGGGGCGCAUGCGUAAUUUUAUUCAUUUUUCUGGGUUUAGCCCGCGUUUUUAGUCCAAACCCAGUUAAAAAUCUCCCUUAUAAAUACUAGCUUUCCUCAUUCAGAACUGUGGAAAUUCAAGAGGAAGGCUACUUAGGAGCUUCAGGAGAGAAUCUAUCUUCUCCUUGAUUUUCUAGGGUAUGUUUUUAUCUUUAGUAUUUUAUUUUUAGUUACCUUGUAUAACUAAAUCAUUUUAGGUUAGGGUUCUAAGAUGAACCUCUGUAUGUUUUUUAUAGGAUAUUUAUUUAAUUUAAUAUGUCAUUUAUUUUAUUUAUUUAUUCUUUUGUUCGUUAGUAAGUUGUAUUAGGAAGUAAUUUAUUUCUGUGAAAGGUGCAACCCUAGAUUAGGUACUUAGGAUGUGACAGGGCCUAAUAUUGCUAUCACUAACUUGAUGCUUAUAAGUUGAUAUUUAUAUCCCUUUACUGAUAACAAUAUGUUCAGUAAGUAGUUGAUUAUUAACUAUCCAAAGAUACCAUAGGAAUUGUUGACCAUAGACGUAGGAACUCAGUGGCUAAAACCCACUUGGUCAGGUGGUGCCUUACGGAACCUAGGAAUUAAUUGGUUAGUAAUUAGGGAAAAGGGUACUUAGCUGUCCGAAAAAAGUUGCAACAUAAUAGAAUCAUUCUCCUGAAACCCUUAGUAAGGUGGACGUAGAUUAGGGAGUGUGCUAUGAGUGUCCUAUGAUUCAUUGAGCCAUAAAGACAUCAAUGGCUUAAGGGAAACUGUUCUGGGCCACUCACACGGAUACACUUAUAUAAUAAUACGCUGCCUUAAGGCUACGCACUCAAAGUAGCGUGCCAACAUGCCUCCACCGUGCCACACCAGAGCACGCCCCAUUGUCGGGAUCACACUACAUGUGUCCUUCCCGGCUCUUAAUCAUACGCCGCAUAACCCGGAGACGGUUAUUCCAUAAGCGCGCCUAUAUAAGGGUGAACUUUCUUCACCCUCAAGGUACACAACACUUUCCACAAAACUUCAUACACUUUCUAUCUUAGUUUCCAUACUGACUUGAUCAUCGAAAUGUUAGCGUGCCUGCAGGCACCCUUCGUUCUACCACAGAAGACACGUCGCCGCCUCACCAGAAACAGUUACCGAUCACCGGAGCACUCUCUACAACCGUUGCGACUCAACCAUUCCUACCAGCCAGAUCAAUUGUACUUAAAACUACUUUACCACACAUACAUAAAAAUAUGUUUUUGAUUCAGUUCUUCCGAAAAAGAAAGGAAAAAAGUAAAAUAUUAAAAAAGAAAAGUAAGAAGAAAAGAAUAAAUAAAAUAAGAGAUGAGAAAGAACUAACCGAACAUUUCUCUAUGAAUGGCAACGUGAAGAAUGGUAGCACCAACGUUAUUGAUAGCAAUAGUGAUAUCAGAUGGGAAAAAAUGAUGUAGGUAAAGAAAGGUCUUUUUAUGGCGUGCAAGCACAGCACAAAAAAGUGGUGUUUCUCCCUUUGCAUUGUUUACUUGAAUCAAAUGCUUCCUUUCACCAUAUUUUCCAAUGAUACAUUGACACAUACUUUUGAAUCCUCUAUAUGCUGCAAGGUGAAGAGGAGUAUCACCUCUUUCAGUCUUUAUUUCAAAACCACUUUGAUCAUCAUGCUUUACUAUUGCAUCUACAAGACGUUUUACACUGUCUUCGUUGGCAUUGCUUACUGCCACAUGUAAUGCUGUUCCUCUUCCCUUUAUUCUUAUCUUGUGAAAAUAUACAUGUUCUUCGUAUUUAUCUAUCACUUCUUUCCAUUUGUCUUCCAUUACAAACUCGCGGAACACGG
rnacentral:lncRNA from 1 species